rnacentral:rRNA from 1 species
UACGUAGGGGGCAAGCGUUAUCCGGAUUUACUGGGUGUAAAGGGAGCGCAGACGGCCAGGCAAGUCUGAUGUGAAAGGCAGGGGCUCAACCCCUGGACUGCAUUGGAAACUGUUUAGCUGGAGUACCGGAGGGGUAAGCGGAAUUCCUAGUGUAGCGGUGAAAUGCGUAGAUAUUAGGAGGAACACCAGUGGCGAAGGCGGCUUACUGGACGGUAACUGACGUUGAGGCUCGAAGGCGUGGGGAGCAAAC